GAUGAACGCUGGCGGCGUACUUAACACAUGCAAGUCGAGCGAGAAGUUUUGAAAAGAUUCUUCGGAUGAAAUUUAAAAUGGCAAGCGGCGGACGGGUGAGUAACGCGUAGGCAACCUGCCCCAUACAAAGGGAUAGCAUUUGGAAACGAAUAUUAAUACCUUAUGAAACUUAACUAGUGCAUGCUAGGUAGGUCAAAGAUUUAUCGGUAUGGGAUGGGCCUGCGUCUGAUUAGCUAGUUGGUGAGGUAACGGCUCACCAAGGCGACGAUCAGUAGCCGACCUGAGAGGGUGAACGGCCACAUUGGAACUGAGACACGGUCCAAACUCCUACGGGAGGCAGCAGUGGGGAAUAUUGCACAAUGGGGGAAACCCUGAUGCAGCAACGCCGCGUGAACGAUGAAGGCCUUUGGGUCGUAAAGUUCUGUUCUAGGUGAUGAAAACUGACAGUAACCUAGGAGAAAGCCCCGGCUAACUCCGUG
rnacentral:rRNA from 1 species